UACGAGAGGCCCAAACGUUAUUCGGAUUUACUGGGCUUAAAGAGUUCGUAGGCGGCUUGGAAAGUGGGGUGUGAAAGCCCUCGGCUUAACCGAGGAAUUGCGCUCCAAACUACCGAGCUUGAGUAGGCUAGAGGUGAGCAGAACUGAUGGUGGAGCGGUGAAAUGCGUAGAUAUCUGGAGGAAUACCGGUGGCGAAGGCGGCAUCCUGGACCGAGAUUGACGCUGAACGGCGAAAGCUAGGGGAGCGAAACAGGGCAGUUAUAUACCCC
rnacentral:rRNA from 1 species